UUAAUGGAGAGUUUGAUCCUGGCUCAGGACGAACGCUGGCGGCGUGCCUAAUACAUGCAAGUCGAGCGGAUUUGUUCCUUCGGGGAUAGGUUAGCGGCGGACGGGUGAGUAACACGUAGGCAACCUGCCUGUAAGAUCGGGAUAACUACCGGAAACGGUAGCUAAGACCGGAUAGCUGGUUUCUUCGCAUGGAGAGAUCAUGAAACAUGGGGCAACCUAUGACUUACAGAUGGGCCUGCGGCGCAUUAGCUAGUUGGCGGGGUAACGGCCCACCAAGGCGACGAUGCGUAGCCGAC
rnacentral:ncRNA from 1 species